rnacentral:rRNA from 1 species
GAUGAACGCUGGCGGCGUGCCUAAUACAUGCAAGUCGAGCGAAUGAUGAGGAGCUUGCUCCUCUGAUUUAGCGGCGGACGGGUGAGUAACACGUGGGUAACCUGCCUGUAAGAUGGGGAUAACUCCGGGAAACCGGGGCUAAUACCGAAUAAUAAAAGAGGAAGCAUUUCUUCUUUUUGAAAGUUGGUUUCGGCUAACACUUACAGAUGGGCCCGCGGCGCAUUAGCUAGUUGGUGAGGUAACGGCUCACCAAGGCGACGAUGCGUAGCCGACCUGAGAGGGUGAUCGGCCACACUGGGACUGAGACACGGCCCAGACUCCUACGGGAGGCAGCAGUAGGGAAUCUUCGGCAAUGGGCGAAAGCCUGACCGAGCAACGCCGCGUGAGCGAGGAAGGCCUUCGGGUCGUAAAGCUCUGAUGUCAGGGAAGAACAAGUACGAGAGUAACUGCCCGUACCUUGACGGUACCUGACCAGAAAGCCACGGCUAACUUCGUGCCAGCAGCCGCGGUAACAC